rnacentral:misc_RNA from 1 species
GUUGAACGUGUUGUACUUGCAACGAGCCCCUCCAACAUUGCUUUGUGUUAACAAUUGUGCGGAUACAAUCCGUUGCCGGCUGCACUUGAAUUUGCAUCGAUUGUGUAUCGACCGAGCUGGAUGGCGAGAUGCCCUCUAUGCACCUCCCGCGAAUAACACGAGCGAUUUGCACUCCUCUCAUUUCGCACGGAGUGCCGCGGUGAAAUUCAUUUAAUUUCGGUCACUUUUCGUUCGGUUUCCCCCCACCAAGUUGCCGCGUGUAUCGUGCGCGUAUUGUCUGGUAUCGUCUUGGAGCCUGGCGGAUACAAUCUCCUUUUGUGCGAAUUCGACCGCGACGUAAUCAGCGAUCACGCAAUUGCGCUUACGAGGCUGACCAGGUAUCUAGUUGCAGCUGGUGGUAUUUGUUAGGUUAGGACACGACCGCUAGAGGAUGCAUCGUUCUGGAAAAUCGCCCGGUGAAAGUGCGCGCCGUUGGGAAUUCCGACAAAGCGAAGGCCGGCGCCGCCACUACUCUCAAACGCCAUGAAGUGAGUGGCGUUCCAGGAAACGUCCCGUGAUAAGAUUCGCAAGAGGUAUCGACGGCGACGGCUUUUCCCUAGAGUACUGUAUAUUUCAUCAAACAAAUCAAUCACAGCUAUUAUGGCAGAGGACGAAGGUACUGAGUGGCUUCAGGAGUUGCUGCACGAUGUUCAACUUCCCCAGUUUUUCACGAGGAUCCGGGAUGAUCUGCAGGUCACUCGCUUACAUCACUUUGAUUAUGUUCAGCCUGAGGAUCUAGAAAAGAUUGGCCUUGGCAAGCCUGGCAUCAGGCGUCUAUUGGAUGUAGUCAAAAAGAGACGGAGCACCCAAUGGAAAAAAACUCUGAUCACUAAGAUCAGGCCUGGUGGCAGUACUAAAAGCAACAAGCGAUCCUCACAGCCCAUUGAGACUUCUUCAGUGCUGACGUGUCUGAUACAAGAGAAAGAUGUGACUUUAUCGAUCAAAUUAGGUGAUGGCAGCUUUGGUGUAGUUAGAAGAGGUGAAUGGACCUCUCCUUCCGGACGGGUUUUCCCUGUCGCUGUAAAAGUCCUCAAAGCAGAUGCUCUCACACAGCCAAAUGUUAUAGAAGACUUUGUGUCUGAGGUACAAGCGAUGCACACUCUGGAUCAUCAUAACCUUAUUCGAUUAUACGGUGUGGUAUUGUCGCAGCCAAUGAUGAUGGUGACCGAACUUGCACCGCUGGGUGCGUUACUCGAUUAUUUGCGUCAACAAUGCAGUAGAAUUUCAGUUCUCACACUCUGUAACUAUGCGUUACAAGUUGCCACAGGUAUGGCAUACCUAGAAGCGAAACGUUUUCUACAUCGCGACCUGGCGUGUAGAAACGUUCUGUUGAGCACAGUCGACAAAAUCAAAAUCGGAGAUUUUGGGUUGAUGAGAGCGCUUCCUCAGCAAGAAGAUUGUUACGUCAUGACUGAACAUAAGAAGGUGCCUUUCCCUUGGUGUGCGCCUGAAUCUCUCAAAGCUCGGCAGUUCAGCCAUGCGUCGGACGUGUGGAUGUUUGGUGUAACGUUGUGGGAAAUGCUGACCUUCGGGGAAGAACCUUGGUUAGGUUUGAACGGUUCCGAAAUAUUGCGGAAGAUCGACCGGGAAGGUGAGCGGCUUCACGAGCCGGAAGCGACGCCACCAUUUGUGUAUGAGUUGAUGCUUCGUUGCUGGUCGAGAGAACCUUCUGAGAGGCCGACAUUCGGAUCAUUGAAGGAAUCGUUGACCGGCAUGAUGCCGGCCGUGAUGAAGGCCGUUAAUGCCUUCGAGGAAGCCGGCAAGAUGUCUAUUGAGUCGGGCGAUCAGAUCGUCAUCAUCGAUGGACGUUCGGAAAACUAUUGGUGGAAAGGCCAAAACCAGCGAACUUUCCAAGUGGCGCAUUUCCCACGCUGCCUGGUGGAUCCGAUGCGCCGGAAACAACCGGAGGACAUCAGCAAACCAUUAGAGAAUUCAUUCAUCCACACAGGCCAUGGGGCGCCAUUCGGCAAGAGCUGGGGUAGUCCUUCGUUCAUUGAUGAUGUGUACCUGAGAAAUCCUAUGGAUCCUCCAGACAUAUUGGUAGCAACUUCAACAGCGGAGAACCAGUUGAAGAAGCGGUUCUCAUACGGUACGCAACGUGCUAGGAAGCAGUUCAAUUACACCAAACUACGCAACGAUGCUAGAUCGAGCCCUAUUAAGGUUUCUCAGACGGCAUCCACCUCGGCAAACAGCCAAGAAGGCUCUUUGAUUGAUUUGUCCGCCGAGGAGCUGGCGAAUACAAGCACCCUCGAGCAGGACGUCGCGUGUAGACGAGUGAUUAAUAUUCUGGACGAGCCGAUAGACGUCGAAAGAUUCCCCUGGCAGAAUGAAAAAGGCGCUAGGACGUACGCCAAUUUUCCCAACGUGGAUUCCGCGUACUCCGACCCCUUCGACACGUCCGCGGUGUUCAUGAAGCCUCCGCACUCGCGUUACUACAGUCAUGUGCCCGCCGAUACUAAUCGUUAUCUGCAGAGGCAGACGUACAGCAACGUGGACGGCCAAGAGGCUUCAGGCAGUCAAGGCGCUGCAAACUGUUUCGUCGCUAGUUCUAGCAGUGAGGAGAUCCGCCAGUACUCGAUGAAUUUGAACAAAGACAGUCAGCAAGACACGGUAAAUUUGAAUGUGAACGUGGAGAAUGAUGAGGGCGCAAGUCACUAUAGUGAGAUAGACAAGGCCAGUCCGAAUUGGUCUACGUGGCCGGAGGACCUACGGAACUCCGCCAGUGCACAGACGUAUGCCAACGUCUCUGUCAGCGGGGUUUCAUCGCUUUCGUCGCUCGUCACAGCUCCUACUCCACCUCCGCCUCCUUCCGUCGGUCCGAAUGCCAGUCCGCCGAAGCCGAAGUCCAAUUGCGAGCUCGCACAGAAUAUGAACGAACUGUCAUUGAGCUCUAAGUCUGGUGCUAUUAACGUCACGAAGAAACUGGACCCGGUCUUCUUGGCUGAGCUGGAGAAACAUCUGGGCGAGAAAGAGGCGAGCAAGAACACAAAUGCUAGCGGAGAAAGCCAGGAAGAAGCAUCCUGCGCGAAUUAUCUUCGCUACUCGUCACUGGACAAGUUGCGGCAAGGAUCACCAGCUCAGCUUUCACCAACAACGACGGAGGACACCGCCAGGUCGUCUUCUUCGUCGGUGAUACCAGCGCUGAAGCCUCCGCCGCAAGUUUCGAAACCGAAGUCGCCGGUGGCGAUGAUGGAUCAUCGAGGAGCGUCCUCCUCGACGUCGACCUUACCUAGCAAGGUACAGAAUUCCCGGCAGCCGAAAAGCACGAACGUCCAACGACCACCCGUCCAGCAAAGUGAUCAACGCGUAGAAUCGACCACCGAUGCGAUAGUAGGACAAAUCUGGCAACAGACGCAGAUUUUGUCUCAACAGAAUGUUUGCCCAACUGAUUUAGGUGCUGGUCGUCAAAUGUUGACGCCCGUUGCGGCUCAGGCGAGCAUGAAUCUGCUGCAAGAAGCCAGCGAUCCUUCUAGUAAUAGUGCCAAUGAAAUUCGACAUGGUCCUUGCAAUGUUGCCAAGGCCACGUUCAAUCAGGCGCAAGCUUGCUCGUCGAGCACUCCGAAUUACCUCUCUACAAAUUUAAGUUCGUCGAGCGCUGGUCAAGAUAACUUCAACCUGUUGCAGAUUGUCACCGGUAACAUUUCUGCUAACAGUACAAAUGAAUCUCAGUACGGCAAUACAGCCAAUGUUUCCAAAGCCAACUUCAAUCCUAUACAAGUCUGUUCGUCGACCAGCCAAAAUUAUCUUCAUAACCCAUCGACAAACAUCGGCAGUUUUAACCUGCUUCAAACCACCGCCAAUCAAGUUCCCGCCGCGACAUUGAUCGAGUCUCAAUAUGGACCUUCCAAUAUUUCCAAAGCUUCUUCCAACCAGGCGCAAGCUUGCUCUUCGUUAAGUCACAACUAUUUGACAAAUGCUUCGACGACUGUUAAUCAGAGUAGCGGCUUUACUGCGCAUCAAAACUAUCCUCAGAAUGCAUCAUUGUCGUCUAACGUGAGCAACACUCAUGGGAUUACCCAUAUACAAAACGAUUUGCAGCAACAACAACAUGCAAAGUCUACUGGACUCCUGUACGAACAAGUAUACGCCGAGUUGAAGCAAAACGUACCUAAUUUAGAUCAACUGUCCCAAAACGAAUUCAAUACUCUCUACAACAAGACUGUGCAGCAGAACAUUCUCCGGAACUACUAUUCCAAUAAUCUAUGUAACGACCAGAGCCAAAGUCACGCUCAAGAAACGGCUAGCGGCCAACAGCAGAAGACUAUCGGCAGGAGUCAGCAAUCUGUUCAAGGACACUUUUGUGACUUCAGUCCUUAUCUGAAACAGCCACCAGUUUACAAUCCUCCACCUCGUUUGACGUUGAGUCCACUCAAAUCCGGUCAGAAUGGUUACAUACAGAAUCACUGUCCUACAGCAAAGUGCAACCUGAUCAGUGGGCAGCCCAAUUUAUUGCAAGUCGACACGCUAACGAGGAGUACGUCUGUACCGAUAACGACGAGCGAUGCUGCCAAGGUGAACUUGCAGGUGGUCAAUCAGCAUCAGCAGCACCCAGUCGGCACCAGUCCGCCACUCACCGCAGCCUCGCAGCAACUGGUGAUGUCGUUGAACGACGAAUUUAGGGCGAGCAGAGUCAUGAGGGUGCAGAGAGAAGCUGCGGAUGCUUCGCAGCAAGAGGUGCUAGCCGCAUUACAGGCGACCGGCUGGGACACGAAUCAAGCGGCCAAGCAGAUUAUGAGGGAUAGACAGGCGAAGGUCGAGAGUCUCGUGAGACUGGGCUUGGCUAGUCGACAACAGUGUGAAAGCGCUUUGAAGCAGACUGAAUACGACGUAGAACUGGCGGCUUCGUUAUUGCUCGAUCAGUCCAGAUGAGGAACAGCCGUGAUGAAUUCCACGUCCUAAGACUUCCUGUGACAUUAGCUAUAAAACUGCGGAAUGCGGAUAUGUAUGAUUUAUUUAUGAACAAUGGAACGCAACAAACGGAAGCCAUUUCGCUCGUAUGAGUGAAGCUCUGCCAGUAAUCAUUCGUUAAUGAUAAAUCGCUUCUUCGGCGAACUUUGCAUUCCAAUCUUCAUUACAAUUUAGCACUAAUAAUAAAUCAAUAUCCGCUAUUUAAAUAAGAAUAAAGCAGCUGUUAUACGCAUAAUAAUCUAUAGGCGAUAUUGGUGAGGAGAUAUUGUCAGUGUUACAUCACUUGUAAGACAUAAUUAACGUAAAUCUGAAACUGUGAUAUGUGAUAUGUUGAUCUCUAUCUGGAUUUACGAUUACGAUCCUAUUAAUGGAUUUUGUUAGCACUGUUGCGAUAAAAAAGCAACAAAUUAUUUAUGAAGAAGGAUAGUAGUACGAACAAAAAGAAAUUUUGAGAUUAAUAAGUAAUAUAUAUAUAGCGGAUAUUUGCGAUAUAAUGUGAUAUACCAGUAUGUAUAAACACAUAUAUCGCAUAUGAUAUAAAUAGAUUUUAUGUAUGUACGUAUGUACGUAUACAAUGUAUAUGUACCGUGCAAAAAUAUAAAAUUCCCAAAAACUUAGAAUUCAAGCAUCUUCGAUCGUGAAAGUGCAAGAGAAGAUCAAGAGAGUUAAAGAGUUAAAAAUUCUAAAAACAUAAUUGAAGAAACCAAGAAUUUCAUAAUAUGAAAAUUAAAAGUUACUACUAAUUCGAAGUUACAGAAUUUAAGAGUAUACAAAGAUCUAAAACGCCUAGGAUCUAAGGGUUUCUUAGAACUGAAAAUUUAAUGCUUUAAAUGCGAUAGGAAUAUAUUUAAAAAUCCAAGGUUAUAUAAGACUAUACGAGCCAGAGACGAAAAAUAGUUAAAUAGUUAUUGUCAUUAAUGAUGAAUGAAACUAUAUCGAACAAUGUGUGAGAAAAAAGGCCACACAAGUGUGAUGUCACCGUAAGUCCAGAGCGCCUUGUUUGAACGAACAAAUAAUAUUGAUAAAUAAAAAACCAGUGGAGUUGUUGAUCUGUGUGCACACUUGAAAGAACAUGCGGAACAUAAUGAUAACACCUGAUUUCACGGUACCUGAGUCCUUGGUCCAAAUCGAAGUCUCCUGAACCUGCUAGUCUUGAAAGUGGAGCGCCGCAUCUCCGCGGCAGCGGUAGCAGUGCCUGAACGGGUCGCUUCGGUUCCGCUCGACGCAUCAUCCGUCAUGGGAUUCAAAAUGUAAUGAUUAAAGUACAUAGAUUCGCGCGCAGACGUGAAAGUCUCUUGGAGGUUUCACCGGGAGAAGAGGAGCGCAGCGUGGAAAAAGGUUUCGGCGGCCGCAGAAGCG